GGAAUUGUGGCUUAGUGGUAGAGCACUUGCCUCCCAUGUGGGAGGUACUGUGUUGGAUCCUCAGCACCA
rnacentral:tRNA from 1 species